rnacentral:rRNA from 1 species
GAUGAACGCUGGCGGCGUGCCUAAUACAUGCAAGUCGAGCGAACAGACGAGGAGCUUGCUCCUCUGACGUUAGCGGCGGACGGGUGAGUAACACGUGGAUAACCUACCUAUAAGACUGGGUUAACUUCGGGAAACCGGAGCUAAUACCGGAUAAUAUAUUGAACCGCAUGGUUCAAUAGUGAAAGACGGUUUUGCUGUCACUUAUAGAUGGAUCCGCGCCGCAUUAGCUAGUUGGUAAGGUAACGGCUUACCAAGGCAACGAUGCGUAGCCGACCUGAGAGGGGGAUCGGCCCCCCUGGAACUGGGACACGGUCCAAACUCCUACGGGAGGCAGCGGUAGGGAAUCUUCCGAAAUGGGCGAAAGCUUGACGGACCAACCCCGGGUGGGUGAUGAAGGUCUUCGGAUCGUAAACCUCUUUUAUUGGGGAAAAAAAAAUGGGUAAGUAACUUUGCACGUCUUGACGGUACCAAAUCAGAAAGCCACGGCUAACUACGU